UACAGAGGGUGCAAACGUUGUUCGGAAUUACUGGGCGUAAAGCGCGUGCAGGCGGCCUUGCAAGUCGGACGUGAAAUCCCACGGCUCAACCGUGGAAGUGCAUUCGAAACUGCGAGGCUGGAGUCCUGGAGAGGAAAGUGGAAUACUCGGUGUAGAGGUGAAAUUCGUAGAUAUCGAGUGGAACACCGGUGGCGAAGGCGGCUUUCUGGACAGGUGCUGACGCUGAGACGCGAAAGCGUGGGGAGCAAACAGG
rnacentral:rRNA from 1 species